CUACGGGCUGCACCAGUGGGGAAUAUUGCACAAUGGGCGAAAGCCUGAUGCAGCAACGCCGCGUGAGGGACGACGGCCUUCGGGUUGUAAACCUCUUUUAGCAGGGAAGAAGCGAAAGUGACGGUACCUGCAGAAAAAGCACCGGCUAACUACGUGCCAGCAGCCGCGGUAAUACGUAGGGUGCAAGCGUUGUCCGGAAUUAUUGGGCGUAAAGAGCUCGUAGGCGGUUUGUCGCGUCUGCUGUGAAAAUCCGAGGCUCAACCUCGGACCUGCAGUGGGUACGGGCAAACUAGAGUGCGGUAGGGGAGAUUGGAAUUCCUGGUGUAGCGGUGGAAUGCGCAGAUAUCAGGAGGAACACCAAUGGCGAAGGCAGAUCUCUGGGCCGUAACUGACGCUGAGGAGUGAAAGCGUGGGGAGCGAACAGGAUUAGAUACCCUGGUAGUC
rnacentral:rRNA from 1 species